AUAUACUAAUACAUAAUAUUGAACUUUUUACAGUGACAUAACUCAAAUGUCCCUAAAAUGACAUUCAGUCGUUUUCAUAGGAAAUAACUCUGGAGCAAAAGAGAUUAUUUCAAUUAUUGAUUGAUUUACAGUAUUUGUAUUCUUCACUAACAGCAUUGAUUCCUGAACUAAGGCAUCACCGGAACCACCGGUAGAGGGCACCCAAGUCAUUUGAAAUGGAGAGGGAAAGUAGAGCAAGCAAUUUCAGAACACACGACGUUAUAAUCCAAUGAAACAUUUAUAAUUUUCUAGGUCAAGGCAAUAGUCAAACUGGAGGCAAAGUCUUAUGAAGCUGUACAUUAUGAUUGUGAGCUGUUAUGAAAGGGAAAAAAAAAACAAGUUUAUUCAAGUGAGUACUGGAAAAUAUUGAUCAGUGACAAUAUUGUUGAAGUGAUUGUGUCUCUUUUUCAAGCUUGUUCAAAGGAAAUGAAAGAGCGAAUGACAGAGGAGUAAACACAGUGAAAUCCGCCUCUGGCCUGCAGUUUGGUAUGACACUCAGUAUCUGAAGUGGGCCAUUCUGAGGAAGGAGCAAUCACUGCUGUAAUCAUCGCUCCGUCUUGGCAAACCUGCGCUGUUGUUCGAGUGCAUCUUAUUGCUUAUUAUCUGAGAUAACGUGGGCCAUCGAUAAUCUUUCAACAACAACAGUGAGACACAAAACCCCCCACCCCGCUUGUCCUGCACCUGCAAAAUAUGUAAGGACUUGUGAUUCUGAAAAUUAUGUGCUAAGACAGUUCACUGUUAUAGGCUUUUACAAGGCCUUACACUGAUUCAGUCGGGUAGGACAGAAGUUCUCUGUAAAAAUAUUUACUGAAAGUACAGUAUCAUAUCCCUGCCUUAUUGUUCUCAUCCGGUUCUAUGAGUUGGUGGUGUAUUUCAGGCCUUGUGUCCAAAGGGUGGCACUGCAGCCUCACAAAUGUAGACUGCUCUUCUCACGGGCAGGCUGUCUAUAAUCCAAGGUUUGAAAAGCACUUGUCGCCUCUAAAUUGUUCCUACAAAGAGCUUGGAAAUACUUGACUUUUCUCCUUAUGUGGUUAUGGAUUUCCCUUUUUCACAAUUAAGUGCCAUUAAAAGCUAAUGUAUCCAGUUAAACCACAUUAAAGCCGCGAUUCGGUGGACAGGGGCGUAUUUUCCCCAUCCACAGUAAUAAAUAAAUAAAAUCUUGCAAUUUUAAUAAAUGAUUCAAAAAUAUAAGGAUGCAUGAAUUGGGUCAAAUGGAAAAAGUUGGAUAAGUGCCACAAGACCGAACAAAUUAUAUGUUGAAGUCGAUAAAGAUUUUUCCAAUACAUUUUAGGUAUUUAUAUUUUCAUUUUAGACAUUUCAAAGAGUAAAACAAUUCAAUUUGAUGAGGCGGAACCAGCGACAAAAAUCAAAGUUUUCCCUUGUUUGGGAGUACUUUCACUUGAUCACUCCCAAUAAGGUUUGUCUUUUAUAGUCAUUAUAAAAUGGCACAAUGUCUGAUCAGCGCUCACAAAGUAUAAGCCAUUUUGUGCGCGUGUUUGCCACAGGUGAAGUGUCUCUUGUGCUCAAGAGAGCCGGGGUACAGUGGGAAUACCUCAGCCAUGCCGAGGCGCCACAGAGCCCUCCGUGUCCGCUGGGUCAAGCUCUGGUGAGAAGUCUGUUAUAACGGAGGCAUCGAUUGCCAUGGUAGUGGAGGAUCGUCCGCCAUUCUCUAUUGGAGAUCGGAGUGGGUUAAAAAACAUUGUGAAAUCACUGAACCCAUUUUAUGUACCCCCUACUCACCAGGCCCUGAAAGCGAUGGUGGGAAAAAAAAUGAUGAUUCGAAGGAGAAGGCAAAAGCCGCUGUAAUGAAAGGAGCAUCAGUGAGUCUUACUUCAGACAUGUGGACCUCCAUCAACACUGAUGCGUUCCUUGCCGUCACUGGCCAUUUUGUCGAUGAAAAUACAAUGUUACAGUCUGUUGUGUUAGGUGUUACGCACGUUCCACGAUCACACACUGCCUUAAAUUUGGCCAGUAUAAAAAAAGACCUUCUUGUACGAUGGGGCAUCAGUAACAAGGUCGCUUGCCUAGUCGCGGAUGGAGCUGCCAAUAUGGGUGCAUGCGAUAAAGAAAUGGGAGUCCGCCAUGUCAUCUGUGUGGCACAUUCAUUAAAUCUGAUUGUCAAAAAAACACUUAAUUCUAAUGAAGAACUACCAGAAAUAAGGGACAAAAGCAGGAAAAUCAUUGGAUAUUUCAAGAGCAGCACUACUGCGAAGGUAAAAAAAAAAUUUUCCCCCCAAUCUUUGUCUCUCUCACACACACACACACGUGUACAUGUAUGGACAAAUAAGAAUCAUUUGCUGUACUUGUAGGAGAGACAAUCGCAGGUUCAACUGCAAAUGGGUCGGUCUGUUCUCAAACUGAUCCAGGAGGUGUAGACACGUCGGAAUAGUACAUUUAAUAUGCUCCUGAGACUUUUUCACAAAAGGGAACCGGUUGGUGCAGCCCUGGCUGGCUUGAAUACUGACAUUGCUCCUCUUUCUUCCCAGCAUCUCAACAUAAUUUCAGAUUCUCGAAAGGUUGUGGCACCGUUCAAUGAUGCAACAAUUGAGUUAUCAGAGGAAUGGUGUGUGUCAUCCCUAUGCUGGCCAUGCGCCAUCAUGCUCUGGAAGAAGAGGAAAUAAUGUGGGCACUCCAGAGGGCAUGGCAUUAGUGGGGUGUCUAAAAAAAAAAAAACAGCUAAAAGAAAAACUCUUCAAUUUGCAAUCUGAAAGUAUUUGAUCUCUCAGCGCUAUACUGCAUCCAAGAUAUAAAACACUAGGUUUCUUCAGUUCACACAAAGCUGCUGAGGCAGAAAGACGACUGACCUCUGAAUGUGCUUCAGCUAUAAGACGCGCUUCAGCCCCUACUUCAGCCCCUACUUCAGCCUCUACUUCAGCUUCAUCAUUUCACAGUCACAAACACGAGGAAGCAAACUGUGGCAUCGCCUAGACAGAUCCAUUCAGCAAAGUAAAACUCCCACACCUACAUCACUGACAGUAAAUGCAACAAUCGAAGUACAGAAAUACCUGGCGGAACCAAACAUAGGACCCGCUGCAGCACUGGAGAAAGCAAAGAAAUUAUUUUCCAAAUCUAUUCACACUGGCUGUCGUGUACCUUUCCACUCAAGCUUCAUCUGUGCGUUGUGAGAGGCUUUUUUCAAAAGCAGGAGAAAUCCUCACCCAAAAGCGGAACCGCUUUUAGU